ensembl:rRNA 5S_rRNA 5S ribosomal RNA
GACAUUUGGUAGAGACUGUUGAAGCCACCUGGUCCCAGCAGACCCCAGAAGGCGGCCACGUUCGCCGCUGCUGGAACAAGGUCCUUAAGGGUGAAGCCUGGUGCCAGAUGUGU